AACGAACGCUGGCGGCAGGCCUAACACAUGCAAGUCGAACGCUCGUAGCAAUACGAGAGUGGCAGACGGGUGAGUAACACGUGGGAACCUUCCCUAUGGUUCGGAAUAGCCCAGGGAAACUUGGGGUAAUACCGGAUAAGCCCUUCGGGGAAGGAUUUAUCGCCAUUGGAUGGGCCCGCGUCGGAUUAGCUAGUUGGUGGGGUAACGGCCUACCAAGGCGACGAUCCGUAGCUGGUCUGAGAGGAUGAUCAGCCACACUGGGACUGAGACACGGCCCAGACUCCUACGGGAGGCAGCAGUGGGGAAUAUUGGACAAUGGGCGCAAGCCUGAUCCAGCCAUGCCGCGUGGGUGAAGAAGGCCUC
rnacentral:rRNA from 1 species